UCUAGGAAUUCUUCUUGGGCAGCUGACAAUUUGACAUUACUCUUUGGGACAGAAGAUGGUUUCUAUACUUCAGUAUCUUCCUCUGAAGACGAACCCUGGUCUUCUCUAUUUCCCUGCUCAGCCUUCUCAAGAGCCUGCCCUUCUUCAGGACAGAAGCACAGAGAAACAAAGACUUCUGGGAUUCUGACAGCCAGGCCCCAGAGUAUAGGCCAACUUCCAACAGGGAAAAGUCGCAAGUAAAAAAGCCAUUAGAAAGAAAAAGGAGAAGCAGCUGCUGACUAAAGCUUCCAAAACACACUACUGGAGAGUGCAUUUAAGACUGUUGUGGAUUUUUACAUGUAUGUUUUCUUGAUUUAAAAUAA